UACGUAGGUGGCAAGCGUUGUCCCGGAAUUAUUGGGCGUAAAGCGCGCGCAGGCGGCCUCUUAAGUCUGAUGUGAAAGCCCCCGGCUCAACCGGGAGGGCCAUUGGAAACUGGGAGGCUUGAGUAUAGGAGAGAAGAGUGGAAUUCCACGUGUAGCGGUGAAUGCGUAGAGAUGUGGAGACACCAGUGGCGAAGGCGACUCUUGGCCUAUAACUGACGCUGAGGCGCGAAGCGUGGAGCAACAGG
rnacentral:rRNA from 1 species